AUUGAACGCUGGCGGCAGGCCUAACACAUGCAAGUCGAGCGAGCGGCGGACGGGUGAGAAAUGCCUGGGCUUUUCCCAGUCGGGGGGGAUAACAGUUAGACACGACUGCUAAUACCGCAUACGUCUCUUUUGCUCAGGUGGGAUUAGCUAGUUGGGAAGGUAAUGGCUCAUCAAGGCGACGAUCCCUAGCUGGUCGGAGAGGAUGAGCAGCCACACUGGAACUGAGACACGGUCAAGACUCCUACGGGAGGCAGCAGUGGGGAAUAUUGCGCAAGGGGGGAAAGCCUGAUGCAGCAAUGCCGCGUGAGUGAAGAAGGCCUUCGGGUUGUAAAGCAAGUUCAGCGGGGAAGCGUUACUCGCAGAAGAAGCACCGGCUAACUCCGUGCCAGCAGCCGCGGUAAUUC
rnacentral:rRNA from 1 species